GACGAACCGUGCGAACGUUGUUCGGAUUCACUGGGCUUAAAGGGCGCGUAGGCGGUCGGCCAAGUCUGGGGUGAAAUCUUUCGGCUCAACCGGAAAAGUGCCCCCGAUACUGGCCGUCUAGAGGGAGGUAGGGGCAUGUGGAACUUCCGGUGGAGCGGUGAAAUGCGCAGAUAUCAGGAGGAACACCGAUGGCGAAGGCAGGUCUCUGGGCCAUAACUGACGCUGAGAAGCGAAAGCAUGGGGAGCGAACAGG
rnacentral:rRNA from 1 species